UUGACCUCAAAUCAGACAAGAAUACCCGCUGAACUUAAGCAUAUCAAUAAGCGGAGGAAAAGAAACCAACAGGGAUUGCCUCAGUAGCGGCGAGUGAAGCGGCAAAAGCUCAAAUUUGAAAUCUGGUACUUUCAGUAUCCGAGUUGUAAUUUGUAGAGGUAACUUUGAAUAUGAGUCUUGCAUAAGUUCCUUGGAACAGGACGUCAUAGAGGGUGAGAAUCCCGUUUAUGGCAGGACCCCCAGUUCGUGUAAAGUGCCUUCUAAGAGUCGAGUUGUUUGGGAAUGCAGCUCUAAGUGGGUGGUAAAUUCCAUCUAAAGCUAAAUAUUUGCGAGAGACCGAUAGCGAACAAGUACAGUGAUGGAAAGAUGAAAAGAACUUUGAAAAGAGAGUGAAAAAGUACGUGAAAUUGUUGAAAGGGAAGGGCUUGAAAUCAGACAUGGUAUUCAGUGAUCAACUUCCUUUCGGGGUUGUGCACUUGCUGUUUACCGGGCCAACAUCAGUUUAGAGGGUAGGAUAAUGGUGAAAGAAUGUAGCUUGUUUUCAAGUGUUAUAGCUUUUAUUGAUACUGCCACUUUGGACUGAGGACCGCGCA
rnacentral:rRNA from 1 species